CAAGAGUGGAGACUCAUAACUUCAGGCUGCUGAAAAGAUCCUGGGCUCCACAGGGCUUUGUGACCUCCCAGCUACCACGAGGUUUCCAUCACUGCUGCUCUCCUGCUGAACAGAGCUGGGUUUGUGUGAGGGAGUGUUUUCCAAGGAAGGUUGUACACAGUGCUGUAGAUGUUGUGGCCCAAUUUUUCCCUGGUUCCAACACUUUAACUCUGCUGGAUCCCAUAGGUAGAAGUGGGUGAUGAAGACGUGGCAGUGCCCAGGUGUGUGACCCCUGUAGCAUCCACCCUGCUGAAGGCAGUUUAACCCAGCAGUGCCACACAAGAAGUUGGAGCCUGCUAAAAGCUACAAGCAAAACUGCUUUUUGCAUUUGUGAUAAAAAAAUGCCCAGCACGAAGCAAAUUCCUCCAGAAACAUGGAUGCAGGUUUACACCCAGGAGACUACAGGAAAAAAAUAAAAUGCUGCAUUGAUUUA